AUCCCGAAAGUGAAUUUGAUAUCAUUCGAAGGAUCACAGUUGCUGAAGACAACUGUUAUGUUCUGCCAGUUAUUCCGGUCUGGUCUGUGCAAUGUACCACAGUCAAAAAAAUCUGUAACACAUUCUAGAGGCGCAAAUUCUUUAUGACAUUCUGCUUUCCAACAUGUAGCUUGCCGUUGUAUCGACAGUAGAUACCACGCCGCUCCUAGAAUCUGCACAACAACAAUGUGAAUGCAUAUGUUGAUUUUAGAAGUGAUUUAAAUCUAGGUGCAUCAAUAAAAGACCACAUUCAGUUUUUAGGAUUAAAAAAUCAGCUUUUGUAGAAAACUCAGGGUUUUUAGCAAUUUAAAUACGGAUCCUAGGAUUAUAAUUUAUUCAUUCACAAAAUCAAUAAACCAACUCUAAAAUGGGUAUUUUCCUCAAUCGAAUUUGAUUUAUUUGCCUUUUGCUUUCUUCGAGUUUAAUUUGCGGAUUUUCUCAACAGUAUAAGGAUAACAUAAUGUGUUUACUUUGAAGGAAGCUCAGUGUCUACUAUAUCUUACUAGCAUAUGACUUAAGUGUGAAGCUCUUGUGAGUUGCUUAGAGAGAGGACUUAGUGACUCACAUGGCUAGCAAGCAUAUACUGAAGGAGAUUGUAAGCAGCACCGGCCCAAGCUGUGGUUGUGACUACUCCGGUAGCUUUGAUAAUCUCAGCGCUUAGAGGGAAAAUGAGAUAAAGCCUAGGAAUGUAUUGAACAAGAACAAUGAGGACAAGUGCAUUUGUUGUAUGAUCUGAGUGUGAGCUUCUGAUUGAUGGCAAAAUAAACCAACUAACAAUCUGCAUAUCAAAAUAAUUGAUUAUACACAUUUUCAAACUCUCUAAUAGAAA